GAUGAACGCUGGCGGCGUGCCUAAUACAUGCAAGUCGAGCGAACAGAUGAGGAGCUUGCUCCUCUGACGUUAGCGGCGGACGGGUGAGUAACACGUGGAUAACCUACCUAUAAGACUGGGAUAACUUCGGGAAACCGGAGCUAAUACCGGAUAAUAUAUUGAACCGCAUGGUUCAAUAGUGAAAGACGGUUUUGCUGUCACUUAUAGAUGGAUCCGCGCCGCAUUAGCUAGUUGGUAAGGUAACGGCUUACCAAGGCAACGAUGCGUAGCCGACCUGAGAGGGUGAUCGGCCACACUGGAACUGAGACACGGUCCAGACUCCUACGGGAGGCAGCAGUAGGGAAUCUUCCGCAAUGGGCGAAAGCCUGACGGAGCAACGCCGCGUGAGUGAUGAAGGUCUUCGGAUCGUAAAACUCUGUUAUUAGGGAAGAACAAAUGUGUAAGUAACUAUGCACGUCUUGACGGUACCUAAUCAGAAAGCCACGGCUAACAACGUG
rnacentral:rRNA from 1 species